UGAUCAUGACAUGCAGAUGACCCCUAUUGAUUUUGAGGUCACUAGGUCAAAGGUCAAGGUCACGGUGACCUGAAAUAGUAAAAUGGUUUCCGGAUGAUAACUCAAGAACGCAUACGCCUAGGAUCAUGAAACUUCAUGGGUAGAUUGAUCAUGACUCGCAGAUGACCCCUAUUGAUUUUGAGGUCACUAGGUCAAGGUCACGGUGACCCGAAAAAGUAAAAUGAUUUUCGGAUGAUAACUCAAGAAUGCUUUUGCCUAGGAUCAUGACACUUCAUAGGUACAUUGAUCGUGACUCGCAGAUGACCCCUAUUGAUUUUCAGGUCACUAGGUCAAAGGUCAAGGUCACAGUGACAAAAAUCGUAUUCACACAAUGGCUGCCACUACAACGGACAGCCCAUAUGGGGGGCAUGCAUGUUUUACAAACAGCCCUUGUUUCAGUAUUUAUUCUUACUACACUAUGUUCUUGUAGAUGUAAUAAUUAUGCCCCUGGAUCGUUAGAUCGGGGGUAUAUUGUUUUUGGCCUGUCUGUCUGUCAUUCAUUCAUUCAUUCAUUGUGUGUGUCCCAAAAAUUUAACCUUGGUUUAAGUUUGAUAACUUUUGCUUUAUUAAAGAUAGCGAGUUUAUUUUUGGCAUGCAUGUGUAUCUCACAAAGCUGCACAUUUUGAAUGGUGAAAAGUCAAGGUCAAGGUCAUCCUUCAAGGUCAAAGGUCAAAUAUAAUUGUAUUUUUCUUUUUUAAAACUUAAACCUUGGUUAAAGUUUGGUCAUAACUUUUGUAUGCCCCCGGAUCGAAAGAUCGUGGGUAUAUUGUUUUUGGCCUGUCUGUCAUUGUAUGUGUGUGUCCCAAAACUUUAAUCAAAACUUUUAUCUUGGUCAUAACUUUUGCUAUAUUCAAGAUAGCAACUUGAUAUUUGGCAUGCAAGUGUAUCUCAUGGAGCUGCACAUUUUGAGUGGUGAAAGGUCAAGGUCAAGAUCAUCCUUCAAGGUCAAAAGUCAAAAAAACAAAUUAAAAAACUUAAACCAAAACUUUAACCUUCUGCAUAACUUUUGCAAUAUUGAAGAUAGCAACUUGGCAUGCAUGUGUAUCUCAUGGAGCUGCUUAUUUUGAGUGGUGAAAGGUCAAGGUCAUCCUUCAAGGUCAAAGGUCAAAUUUAUGGCUUCAAAGCGGCGCAAGAGGGGGUAUUGUGUUUCUGACAAACACAUCUCUUGUUAAUAUUGAAGAUAGCAACUUGAUAUUUGGCAUGCACAUGUAUCUCAUGGAGCUACAUGUUUUGAGUGGUGAAAGGUCAAGGUCAUCCUUCAAGUUCAAAGGUCAAAAUUUAUAGCUUCAAAGCGGUGCAAUAGGGGACAUUGUGUUUCUGACAAACACAUCUCUUGUUGUUGUUUUUUUGGUUUUAUAAAUGGUAGUGCAUGUUCAUUUUGUAGAAGACAACUAUUACCAUAUUAUGAUUUUCUUUUUAUUGGAAGUAUGCAGAAUCAUAAUAAAUCCAUGUCUAGCUUGACUUUUGGCUGAUUAGUCACAGAUUUACAACUUGCCCAAAUGUUGUGGUCGAUGACUGCAUGAUAAUGUGGUUAAGGUUGGAUGCAACUGCUCCAAAACACUCUACAUGUAUAUUUAAUACAGAUAUGAAAUGAAAAAUGGUGUUAAGGGUCUUUACAAAUGUAUAUACAUUUUUAGACAAAGAAUUGUGACUGUGACCAGCUUUUUUGCAGGAUUAUGUCCCCUUUGAACUUAAAAAAGUCAGAUUAAGGUUUGCAUGCAAGAUGAAAUUUAGACUAAGGUUGAGGUCGCUGACCAAGUUCCAUAACUCUGACCUGCAUUUUAGCAGAAUUAACCCCCUUUUUGUUAGCGGAAAUUGGAUUAUGGUAAGCAUGCAACAAUAAUUUAUCUGUGUAAUUGCCACAGAUAUUCAAUCUAAACUGCAUCCAUGUUGUUGAGAUAAUCAUUUGCGGUCACAGACCAAGACCCAUUACUCUGACCUGCAUUUAAGGAAUUUCCACCUUGGCCUUCGGGUUGGGUAGAUAUCACUCUUUUUGGGUUGCAAUUGUUAAUACAUGUAUAGUCAAUGCCCCUCAACUCUGUCUAUGAUAUUUAUAUUUUACAUUUACUGAUGUGCCUUUAAACAUCUGUGAACAUGUAAUGUGAUGCCAAUUAACCAAAAAGUUACCCUAUUGUUAAGUAUAUGUUUUUCAAUUGUUGUUACAAUCACUUAUGUACAUGUUGAGUUGUAUUCUUACCAAGUAAAUGGGGUUGUAAAUGUAGGUUCUAAUAAAUAGUGAAACACA